rnacentral:rRNA from 1 species
AUUGAACUGAAGAGUUUGAUCCUGGCUCAGAUUGAACGCUGGCGGCAUGCCUUACACAUGCAAGUCGAACGGCAGCACGGGCUUCGGCCUGGUGGCGAGUGGCGAACGGGUGAGUAAUACAUCGGAACAUGUCCUGUAGUGGGGGAUAGCCCGGCGAAAGCCGGAUUAAUACCGCAUACGAUCUGAGGAUGAAAGCGGGGGACCUUCGGGCCUCGCGCUAUAGGGUUGGCCGAUGGCUGAUUAGCUAGUUGGUGGGGUAAAGGCCUACCAAGGCGACGAUCAGUAGCUGGUCUGAGAGGACGACCAGCCACACUGGGACUGAGACACGGCCCAGACUCCUACGGGAGGCAGCAGUGGGGAAUUUUGGACAAUGGGCGCAAGCCUGAUCCAGCAAUGCCGCGUGUGUGAAGAAGGCCUUCGGGUUGUAAAGCACUUUUGUCCGGAAAGAAAUCAUUCUGGCUAAUACCCGGAGUGGAUGACGGUACCGGAAGAAUAAGCACCGGCUAACUACGUGCCAGCAGCCGCGGUAAUACGUAGGGUGCGAGCGUUAAUCGGAAUUUUACUGGGCGUAAAGCGUGCGCAGGCGGUUUGCUAAGACCGAUGUGAAAUCCCCGGGCUCAAACCUGGGAACUGCAUUGGUGACUGGCAGGCUAGAGUAUGGCAGAGGGGGGUAGAAUUCCACGUGUAGCAGUGAAAUGCGUAG